rnacentral:rRNA from 1 species
AAAAAGCUCGUAGUUGGAUUUCUGCACGGGUGGGGCGCCGCCCGGCCUCUGGCUUGGGUUGAGCAGCAACUCCCGUGCAUCCUGCCGCGAACCUCGCUACCAUUCGUUUGGUGGCGCCUGGGGAUCGGCUCGUUUACUUUGAGAAAAAUAGAGUGUUCAAAGCAGGCCUGAUGCCUUGAAUAAUGUAGCAUGGAAUAAUGAUAAAGGACUUUGGUUCUAUUUUGUUGGUGUUCGGGACCGAAGUAAUGAUUGAUAGGGACAGUUGGGGGCGUCUGUAUUCUGAAGCGAGAGGUGAAAUUCUUAGACCUUCGGAAGACAAACAGCUGCGAAAGCGUUCGCCAAGGAUGUUCCCUUUGAUCAAGAACGAAAGUUGGGGGAUCGAAGACGAUCAGAUACCGUCGUAGUCUCAACUAUAAACUAUACCAGCUAGGGAUCGGCCAACGUUGAUAUC